UACGUAGGGGGCAAGCGUUGUCCGGAAUCAUUGGGCGUAAAGCGCGUGUAGGCGGCCCGGUAAGUCCGCUGUGAAAGUCGGGGGCUCAACCCUCGGAUGCCGGUGGAUACUGUCGGGCUCGAGUACGGAAGAGGCGAGUGGAAUUCCUGGUGUAGCGGUGAAAUGCGCAGAUAUCAGGAGGAACACCGGUGGCGAAGGCGGGUCUCUGGGCCAUAACUGACGCUGAGGAGCGAAAGCGUGGGGAGCGAACAGG
rnacentral:rRNA from 1 species